rnacentral:lncRNA from 1 species
AAAUAAAAAUAAAAACUUGGUUGGUAUACAAAUGUAAUGGCAGUAGGAAUAUAAAUAAAUAAGAUAAAUCAUGAAGAAGAAGAUAGAAAAAAUAAAACUGAAAAUUUAAACAUUGGACGACGACACUUUUUGGUACUGUCAUGCUCGACCUCUUGAUUUCUUCCCCUCCCUCUGAGUCUCCACGCUCCCUCUCGGUCUUUUCCUUCUCCCUCUAAGUCUCUUCUUUUUUUCUUUCUUUCUUUAUCUCUUUCUUUUUUUUUUUUCCUGCUUUUUUUCUCAACUCUUAUCUUUUCUCUCAAUCGCGA